rnacentral:rRNA from 1 species
CUUAGGAAUCUGCCUAUUAGUGGGGGACAACAGUUGGAAACGACUGCUAAUACCGCAUACGCCCUACGGGGGAAAGGAGGGGAUCUUCGGACCUUUCGCUAAUAGAUGAGCCUAAGUCAGAUUAGCUAGUUGGUGGGGUAAAGGCCUACCAAGGCGACGAUCUGUAGCGGGUCUGAGAGGAUGAUCCGCCACACUGGGACUGAGACACGGCCCAGACUCCUACGGGAGGCAGCAGUGGGGAAUAUUGGACAAUGGGGGCAACCCUGAUCCAGCCAUGCCGCGUGUGUGAAGAAGGCCUUUUGGUUGUAAAGCACUUUAAGCGAGGAGGAGGCUCUUCUAGUUAAUACCUAGGAUGAGUGGACGUUACUCGCAGAAUAAGCACCGGCUAACUCUGUGCCAGCAGCCGCGGUAAUACAGAGGGUGCGAGCGUUAAUCGGAUUUACUGGGCGUAAAGCGUACGUAGGCGGCUUUUUAAGUCGGAUGUGAAAUCCCUGAGCUUAACUUAGGAAUUGCAUUCGAUACUGGGAAGCUAGAGUAUGGGAGAGGAUGGUAGAAUUCCAGGUGUAGCGGUGAAAUGCGUAGAGAUCUGGAGGAAUACCGAUGGCGAAGGCAGCCAUCUGGCCUAAUACUGACGCUGAGGUACGAAAGCAUGGGGAGCAAACAGGAUUAGAUACCCUGGUAGUCCAUGCCGUAAACGAUGUCUACUAGCCGUUGGGGCCUUUGAGGCUUUAGUGGCGCAGCUAACGCGAUAAGUAGACCGCCUGGGGAGUACGGUCGCAAGACUAAAACUCAAAUGAAUUGACGGGGGCCCGCACAAGCGGUGGAGCAUGUGGUUUAAUUCGAUGCAACGCGAAGAACCUUACCUGGUCUUGACAUAGUAAGAACUUUCCAGAGAUGGAUUGGUGCCUUCGGGAACUUACAUACAGGUGCUGCAUGGCUGUCGUCAGCUCGUGUCGUGAGAUGUUGGGUUAAGUCCCGCAACGAGCGCAACCCUUUUCCUUAUUUGCCAGCGGGUUAAGCCGGGAACUUUAAGGAUACUGCCAGUGACAAACUGGAGGAAGGCGGGGACGACGUCAAGUCAUCAUGGCCCUUACGACCAGGGCUACACACGUGCUACAAUGGUCGGUACAAAGGGUUGCUACUCCGCGAGGAGAUGCUAAUCUCAAAAAGCCGAUCGUAGUCCGGAUCGCAGUCUGCAACUCGACUGCGUGAAGUCGGAAUCGCUAGUAAUCGCGGAUCAGAAUGCCGCGGUGAAUACGUUCCCGGGCCUUGUACACACCGCCC